AUCUUUUGUGUCUCCUAAGUGUGAUGAUUUAGUUUUCAUACUCAUGUGAGGUGUGCCUUCCUUAACCUUAUUAUGACAUCAGCAUAUUACCCAUCUGACG
rfam:Nomascus leucogenys chromosome 2, whole genome shotgun sequence.